rnacentral:rRNA from 1 species
GACGAACGCUGGCGGCGUGCUUAACACAUGCAAGUCGAACGGAAAGGCCCUGCUUUUGUGGGGUGCUCGAGUGGCGAACGGGUGAGUAACACGUGAGUAACCUGCCCUUGACUUUGGGAUAACUUCAGGAAACUGGGGCUAAUACCGGAUAGGAGCUCCUGCUGCAUGGUGGGGGUUGGAAAGUUUCGGCGGUUGGGGCUGGACUCGCGGCUUAUCAGCUUGUUGGUGGGGUAGUGGCUUACCAAGGCUUUGACGGGUAGCCGGCCUGAGAGGGUGACCGGCCACAUUGGGACUGAGAUACGGCCCAGACUGCUACGGGAGGCAGCAGUGGGGAAUAUUGCACAAUGGGCGGAAGCCUGAUGCAGCAACGCCGCGUGCGGGAUGACGGCCUUCGGGUUGUAAACCGCUUUCGCCUGUGACGAAGCGUGAGUGACGGUAAUGGGUAAAGAAGCACCGGCUAACUACGUG